UGCAAAAAAAUGUGUCUUGCUUUGGGCGAGGGGUGUUAGUGGUUGAUUAUGAUGAUAAUGAGAUUUUUCCUCGGACUUUCAGCAUUUCAGUUUUAAGUGACUGGCACAGCGAUUUAAUUUUGGUGAUUGAGGACUGCACAGAAGAGGAAUCAAAGUGAAAGUGGUAGACCAGCUGGAAAUGUCAACAGGAUCGGGACACCUGGAAAAUUUGGCCGCUGACAGCUGACCACCUGAAGUCUUGAUGCAGGUCCAACGAUGUCUGAUGAUGGUUAUGAACAACAUCUUAAUAAAGAUGAAUUCUUCUCAGUU